rnacentral:lncRNA from 1 species
AUGUUGGCCAAGCUGGUCUCAAACUCCUGAACUCAAGUGAUCUACCCACCUGGCUUCCCAAAGUGUUAGAAUUACAGGCAUGAGCCACCAUGCCCGGCCUAGGAAUCUUUGUAUUAUACUUACUGGUUGAGCAUUCCAAAUAGAAAUAUCUGAAAUCAGAAAUGCUCCUGUAAGCAUUUCCUUUGAGCGUCAUGUUGACGCUCAAAAAGUUUUGGAUUUUGGCUUUUGGAUUGAGAUGCUCGGCCUAUAGUAAAAGUGGUUAACAUCUAUUGAUUUCUUAUUGUGCACCCGGCAUGGAGUUAAACAUUUUAUAGACAUUACUGAAUUUAUUCCUCAAAACACCCCUAUUAUGUAGAAGUAGGAACUAAGGCUUAGAGUGAUUACAGGAUCCAAGAUUACACUGGUAGCAAACAGCACUGGUACAAGAUCUGUAUUCUGGGGACUAUCCUAAUGCAAAUGGUUCUGUAGGGAAAAUAAUAUGGUCCUUGCAUGCAGGAUGGAACAGAAGUUGGUGAAGGUCAUAAGUGACUAAGGUGGGGGAUGAUUGGGAGAUAUGGAAGAAACCAAUUCCAGAGAAAUGUCAGAGAAAGGUGCGGUGGUAUUGCUAAUAGGUUAGAGAGAUGGGGGAGGGCAGGCACUCAAGAUGACUAGCAGUUCUGAUUAGUAGUGGCACCAACAAAAUAGAAAAAAAUUAUUAACCUGACAUAUAGACAAAUACAGCUUUUUCACCCAGUGAGAGAACAUAAAUUUAAAAAAAUUUUUUUAAAUAGCUAAUAUUUGAAAGCACACACCUUUUUUUUUUUUUUUUUUUUUUUUGAGAGGAAGUCUCACUCUUGUCCCCCAGGCUGGAGUGCAAUGGCACGAUCUCAGCUCUCUGCAAUCUCCGCCUCCCGGGUUCAAGAGAUUCUCCUGCCUCAGCCUUCCGAGUAGCUGGGAUUACAGGCACCUGCCACCAUGCCUGGUUAAUUUUUGUAUUUUUAGUAGAGACAGGGUUUCAACAUGUUGGCCAGGUUGGUCUUGAACUCCUGACCUCAGGUGAUCCACCUGCCUCGGCCUCCCAAAGUCCUGGGAUUACAGGCGUGAGCCACCGUGCCUGGCUUUUUUUUUUUUUUUUAAAAAACAAAUACUUUCUUAUUUAAGACACACAAUCACUCCCAGAAGAGUGGAGUAUUACCUCUUUUACAGAUGGGAAACUGGAGGCUCAGAAAGGCUAUUUAGGACCUUGCCCCAGUGGUCACCCAGUUAAGAAGCUCGAAGAGCCAGAAUACAACCCACGUAGGUCCAGAGCCCCAGCUGUCCACCACUAUACUCAAGUGGCUGGAGAGGGCAUUUUAGAACACUUAAAAUGAAAACCAACUAAAAGAAAACCUAAUUCACACAUCAUUAAUAAAAGCCAGUUACUGUAUAGAAAGCAGACGGCCUGUAUUCUUAAAAAGAUGAUAGGCUUUAACUAUCUAGGGCAUGAAAAAAAAGUAGGAGUCUAAUUAUGGAUGCUCUUUCUUCUAAAGUAGAGAGAUAUGUGCAUCAAGUUAACAAGCACCAUUUCUGAGUUUUACAAAGAUGAAGUUUUAAAAUGUGAAUGAUCCUGACUUGUCAGCUUAGCAACAAUCACAGAAUUCAUUACUUACAUUUUCACUAAGGGGGGAGGGGUUAUCUAGGUCAGUCCACCUAGAUGUAAAAAUAGAUUUCUGCAAUGUUGAAAGAGUACACUGCCUCAUUAUUAUUCCAGUCUCAAAGGCUGAAAUAAGCCCAGCAAGACAGACCAUGUAGUUUCCCUGUUAUCUCAACAGGUAUUGAUUUUGAAUUUAAAAAAUGACCAUUCAGUAACUAAGAACUUCAUCUCAUGGAGUCUUUGCCCACUUCUAGGCAGAAACUCCAUAUCCCUGAAAGAUUAGUCGACUCUUCCCAUGACCCCCUAGUUCUCAUUGGCAUUUUUAGGGGAGCUAAUUCACCAAAUGAGUUCAUAAAAGGGUUCUUUUUAAAUCCUAUACUAGUUUCCUCCCAAGGAGAUGGUGACAUCAAGAAAUUAGCACUCGAUGUCUUCCUCUCGCAUCACAUACGUUCUGGGUGUCAGGAAAACAUAUCUUUACAGCUGCAUCCAAGUGAGUUCCACAAUACAGGAGCUACGAUCAUUUAAAUGGAUGAAUACUUUCUGCACAGUAAAAUUGUUGCUUUCCCUUCAUUACAACAGACUUAUUGUAGCCUCAGGACAGACUUGAAAUUACAUCAACCCUGCUUGAGAAAAGUUAUUAUUAUGAGUUUACAAAAAUUUCACUAGUUCUACCUAUUCCUCGCUGUCUCAACAAUAAAAAACCUAAAAGCAGAUAGCUGAGAAGUUUCAACUGGGACCUCAAGAAGUCCAGCAUCACUGUAGUAGAAUUUGUGAUUACGGUCUGCUGAAGUUCUAGCCCUUCUCUGAUUUCCUCUCUUCACUAGAUCUGACUGGCCCAAUGUGCUAAUUUACGAUAAUCCGCACAUAUAAUGUCUAACUCAGUUUUAAUACACAGCUUAUUUAAAAAUCGGGUAUCUCCAUGCUAACAAUACAAGGCAGCAGGUACAAUAACAUUGUCAGUAGAAUUGUUUUAUUUAUUUAUUUAUUUAUUUAUUUAUUUAUUUAAAGACAGAGUCUCGCUCUGUGCCCAGGCUGACGCGAUCUCGGUUCACUGCAACCUCCGCCUCCCGGGUUCAAGUGAUUCUCCGCCUCACCCUCCCGAGUAGCUGGGAUUACAGGCGCCCACCACCACGCCCGGCUAAUUUUUGUAUUUUUAGUAGAGACAGGGUUUCACCAUCUCGGCCAGGCUGGUCUUGAACUCCUGACCUGGUGAUCCACCUAUCUCGGCCUCUCAAAGUGGUGGGAUUACAGGCAUGAGCCACCGCCCCCGGCCCGUCAGCAGAAUUUUAAAGAAAAUCAAGAAAUCACAUAAGGUUUUGACCUUUUAAUAGAAAAGACUGGCGUAGACAGGCAACAGUGGCAGAUGCGGCAGAAACACUCUGCAGUUACCUUACACAAUUGCUUUACCACAUUCCACCUAAGCAGUUGAGGCACAAACUUUAUCACCACCAUUUUACAGGUUAUGAAGAGUGAGUUUUGUAAAGUUGCAUGAGUUUUGCCAAACCACUUAAAUGAGUUGACAAUGAGCCAUCCAUCCCGCUAAGAUUACUAAUCUUGUUUACACAAAGAAGAUCACAGUUGUGACAAGAAAAAACAAGCUUUCACAUUUCAAGUCUGCAAUAUUAACUUUACAGAAUCCUCUCAAUUACAAAUGCAUUCGAAGAUGAUCUCCUUUUCUUCAUAGUUCUGUUAACUAGCAUUACAGCUAUCCAAGAAGAAAUGUCUACCUGUGGGUAAGCACAUUUCUUCAAUGUUUAUUCCAAAUGGAGUUUCUGGUUAUUUUCACAGCAAACUGUUACGAAACUUAUACACAAAGUGCAAAAACAAGAGAAUUGUAAGAUUGAGAUGAGUGCAUGAGGUAUUAUUCCACCAAAUAUAUUCAAUCUGUAAAAACUCAAAUCAUCCUUCCAAAAUGAUUAACAGAUGCUAAAGGAAAAAGGGAAAGCGGGCAAAUAAACCAGAGACUCAUUGCUUCACUUCUGGGGCAAUCGAUUACUACUUCAAAUUAUGAGUGAAGACCAAAAUCCUGCACAAAGGGCCGCGACACAACCCCGUCACUAUUGCUACUAUUUCCAUCCAGUUGGUCUCUCGAUCUUGGAAGUGGCAGGCCAGAAUCUGAGCCCGGCUCUCCCUCCGUGAACUUUACACAGAGGCUGACACCCAAAUCCCCAGUUCUCGGACAAGCGAGUAAGUAGUUGGCGGAGCAAAGAACAACUCCAGGUGCCUCCUGCCAGAACAGAUGCCAGCGUGGAGGAGGUGCUUUGUUAAAUGGCACUUCAAUCAGCCCUGGGGAGAACGGGUUACAGAGCCUCACAUCCAGCCUCGACGAUUCAACAGCCCGGGAGGGCAAAGGCACUUACUGGGCAGCUGCCAUGUACCAGACGCUGGACUAGAGACCAGAGAUUUAAAGUAAAAAAAUGAAAUAAAAUAAAAACUCCCCCCGACCAUGAUUGCCCUGAGCAUAGAGCAUACUUCCACUUAAACUAAGAUCCUACUGUGUUGUGUAUUUUAAUUUUGCAUAUCUGGCUCACCUUUAUGUUUCUUUCUUUUUUUU